rnacentral:rRNA from 1 species
GCCUGCAGCCAUAUCACCCUGCAGCCCAAGACUGGUUGCCCACUGAAGCUAAGCAGGGUUGAGCCUGGUCAGUACCUGGAUGGGAGACCUCCUGGGAAAACUAGGUUGCUGCUGGAA